AUGGCGGACGUAGCCAGUCUGCUGCUCCUGAACUCCCGUCUCACCAUCCUGUCCCAGCUGCCCUCAUGGUGUAUGAGCCUCUUCCUGCAACAACAGGUCAGAAUACUUUGGGGCAGCAAGUAGGUCAGCUACCUGGUCCCUUUAGUUACACUCAGUACAUUGCCAGCAUUGAUGGGAGGUGCAGGUUGUUCACAGGCUUAACACCAAAACUGCCUGGGAGUCCAUGGUCAAGUUUUGCAGUAGUCAGGACCUGGAAAUGUACAGAAAGCUGUCUCAUCUUCCUUUGACCGAGUUAUCAUGGAGAUAACUCAAGUGAUAAUCACUCGUUCUGUUGCUACCGCCAUCACACAUCCCUUCUGCAUGAUUACUGAGAUUUGUGGUACAAUUCACUGACAGAGAGUCCAAGUACUGUGAACUUUGUGACUCCAUAGUAACCAUCUAUUGAGAAGAAGGCAUCCUAGGAUUUCUCAUGUGUCUUAUUCCUCACCUCCUAGGCAACAUCAUUUCUUUAUGGCUCUGUAACUCACUGGCCUACCUCAUCAAUACCUAUGCACUGAAGAGUUAUUCUCAAGAUGUCACAGCACUGUUUGCCAGUAUGUUGACCUAUCCCUUUGUGCUUGUCUCUAAUCUUAUGGCUGUCAACAGCCAUGGGCUUGCUGGUGGACCCCCUUCUUCCUUCCCAGUAUAUACUACUUGCAUACAUUGCUGGUGCAUGCUACAAAAAGAGGGAAAUAUGAGCCGAGGAAAUAGCUUGUUUUUCCCAAAGCAUCCCUUUGGGAAGACUUGUUGUGACCUGAGAAUGCUAAUUUGA
rnacentral:lncRNA from 1 species